rnacentral:rRNA from 1 species
AGUUCGGAUUGUAGUCUGCAACUCGACUACAUGAAGCCGGAAUCGCUAGUAAUCGCGGAUCAGCAUGCCGCGGUGAAUACGUUCCCGGGUCUUGUACACACCGCCCGUCACACCAUGGGAGUCGGAAAUGCCCGAAGUCGGUGACCUAACCGGAAGGGAGGAGCCGCCGAAGGCAGGUCUGAUGACUGGGGUGAAGUCGUAACAAGGUAUC